rnacentral:misc_RNA from 1 species
GUGAAGAACGCAGCGAAAUGCGAUACGUAAUGUGAAUUGCAAAUUCAGUGAAUCAUCGAGUCUUUGAACGCACAUUGCGCCCCCUGGUAUUCCGGGGGGCAUGCCUGUCCGAGCGUCAUUGCUGCCCUCAAGCACGGCUUGUGUGUUGGGCCCCGUCCUCCGAUCCCGGGGGACGGGCCCGAAAGGCAGCGGCGGCACCGCGUCCGGUCCUCGAGCGUAUGGGGCUUUGUCACCCGCUCUGUAGGCCCGGCCGGCGCUUGCCGAUCAACCCAAAUUUUUUAUCCAGGUUGACCUCGGAUCAGGUAGGGAUACCCGCUGAACUUAAGCAUAUCAAUAAGCGGAGGA